ACAGGGGGCUUUGGGCACUAAUGCAAAGGACAAUUUUUGUUGUGGUCACCCUGCAGCAGCUCACCCUGGCACAGGAACUGGGGGCUCACUGUCCUGGGCUGGCCUCUAGGAAAGGCUUCUGGCUCAGCAACUCUGGCAUUUCAUCUUCCGCUAGCUCCUAAAACCAACUUUUCUAGGUUUCUACCUCUCUAGACAACCAAAAUAGUGUAUUGUAGUAUUUAAUUUCAGCUGGCAAUUUUUCUUAAGAAAUGCUGUUUGAUUGGCAUGGAUUUCGUCUGUCAGACAACUAAACCCAACACAGGUAAAUCAAUAGAGAGAUAAAGAUGAGGUAUCAGCACUAUUCAAAAGAUGGGAUUUUCAUCCUAAUGGCUCAGCCUGCUCAGCAAUUCUCUUUUGGUUUUGCCAGAUGUAAGGGCAUAACCUUGAACAGGAGAAAAACCUUUUCAGUCUUGUAAAAAACCAGGUUCACAUAAGGCAGCAUUGCAAUUUGUGUUGUUAUCAAGAAGGGUUUUUCUCUUGAGCCUCUCUUGAAUGUCACAAAAAAUUAAAAGCAGAAAGAGUUGCUCUAGUCAGUCAUAGUCAGGAUUGUUUACAUAGACAUUAACACAAAAAUAACAAUUAGUUCCCAUUAUUAAAAAUUUCUGAAAAUGAGCAGAGGUCUUAUUUUGCAUGGUUAAUUCAGUUGCUGUUCAAGUGCCCUGUGCUGGAGAUACCUUUGAAUUUCAUGGCUUUAGGUGCACUCACCUGGUAGUCAGUGGUACAGUAUCAGAGUAUGUCCUAGCAUGAUGCAUGGUUUAUUUGCACCCUGGAAGUGUCCUGGUGACGUGUGAAUUAGUUAAAGAAGAUCUAGUGGGAGAUGGUGCUCAAGAGCUGGGUUUGUGCAGUGUGGGGUAUGUUCAGUUGCCAUGGUUAUUCCAGGAAAAUAUGUGUACAGUUAGUUGAGUCCCUAUAUAGUUUAACUUGCACAAUGAAUAAAAAAAUAGAAGCAUAAAACUUCUCAUGUGAAACAAAAUCUUUAUAAUCUGAGGGUUCAUGAUAAUAAAUUGAAACUGGAAUAUAUAUUAGGUACAGAUACACAGGAGUGGUGGCAGCUAAAGCAACAGUGUUUAUCUUUUUACAUAAAUUGCAAAGCAGGUCAGAAAUGCAAAACAGGUCAGAAAUAAAUGAGUUGCUAAAAGCUGAAGUGAUGAUGUGAUAAUCUGCAUUUUAGAAAUGAUCUUGUGGCAUUCAGAGCUAUGAAUAAUGAACUUGGCUCUUUUUCGCUUCUCAUUUUCUUCUAUCACUGGAGGAGGCAGCAGGAGGAAGGUCCAAAGCAGCAGAAAACUGACCACUGAGGCUGUGCAAAUUAGUUAGAACCAGAAUUAGCUGUUCAGCUGAAGGUCAAUGCACUUGGAAGCAGAUGGAGCAGUAAUUCAUGAAAAAUAGUGUUUAGGAAAGAAAAGAGAGAUGCCAGUGUGGAACUCCUGCCCAGACCUGAGAGCUGCAGUGUGUCCUCCUCCCUGCAGAUUUCACCAGCAUCUGAACUGGAGAGUAAAAGCAAACAUGGACAGAGGCGAGCCCCGACUUUGGCUGCAGUUUUGAGAUCCCAGCUGCACUUUGAUUUUCAGGAAGCAGGCUGAUUGGUGAGGUGCAGGUAGACAGAUCUGUUUGGAAUGCUCCUCCUCAGAUUUCACUGGUCACCAUCGAGCAGUCGGAAAGAAAUAUGAGGCUUGUAAAGUGUGGGAAAGAAGCUGCCUUUGACAAGCAAAAGGCCCAGUCCAGUGUGAUACGAUAUUCUACUACAAAAAAAUUGAAGGGAAAUGUGGUUUCCUGUUUUCCUGUUCCAGUGUUUUUGGACAACAGUGACAUGUCAGCAGUGUUCAAAACUUCCUGCCUUGAAGAAAAUGAGAUAUCAGUAGUGCCAGAACUCACACUGCAGUUACAAAGCCUGGGAGUGGAAGGUUUCAGGAGUGCCAGGGUGCUGUGGACCUUCAGUUUGCACUUCCCAUGCAGAAUCCAUGCCCUGGU